UUGACCUCAAAUCGGGUGGGACUACCCGCUGAACUUAAGCAUAUCAAUAAGCGGAGGAAAAGAAACUAACAAGGAUUCCCCUAGUAACGGCGAGUGAAGAGGGAAAAGCUCAAAUUUUGAAUCUGGUGUCUUUGGCGCCCGAGUUGUAAUCUAGAGAAGUGUUUUCCGCGUUGGACCGUUCACAAGUUUUCUGGAAUGAGGCUUCAUAGAGGGUGAGAAUCCCGUAUCUGGAACGGACUACCAAUGCUCUGUGAUACACUCUCAACGAGUCGAGUUGUUUGGGAAUGCAGCUCAAAAUGGGUGGUAAAUUCCAUCUAAAGCUAAAUAUUGGCGAGAGACCGAUAGCGAACAAGUACCGUGAGGGAAAGAUGAAAAGCACUUUGGAAAGAGAGUGAAACAGUACGUGAAAUUGUUGAAAGGGAAGCGUUUGAAGUCAGUCAUAUCUGUCGGGAUUCAGCUUGGCUUUUGCCUUGUGUACUUUCCGUCCGAUGGGUCAGCAUCAAUUCAGACCGAGGGAAAAAGGCGUUUGGAAUGUGGCUGUCUUCGGGCAGUGUUAUAGCCUCGCGUUGUAUGUCUCGGUUGGGAUUGAGGAACGCAGCGCGCCACUUAAUUGGCCGGGGGUUAAGUCCUCUCGUAUCGCGCUUAGGAUGCUGG
rnacentral:rRNA from 1 species